rnacentral:lncRNA from 1 species
UUUUUUUUUUUCUUUUUGAGAUUGGCAGUAGGAAGCACUUUUGUAGCAGGAAAGAAGUAGUUUGCAGUUCUCCCACCAGAAGGGGCCUCGCCUUUCUCCCACAACCACCCCAGGCUCAAAGCACCUGGUUUCCCAGGCCCCAGCAAUUUACACCCCAAAGAAGACAAGAGAAAGGGUGGGAGGGGAAUCUGAGCAGAUUACUGAAACCAAGAUGAGAAAUAGCGCCUUGGUGGAGGCGGAGCCCUGGCCCCUGGAGAGGGGAGGCCUACAGGACAGACAGGAGCUGGCCCGGUCAGAAGCCAGGAGGACGGUGGGCUGUCUAUGUGGGCCUCUCCCCAGGCCGGGGCUGCUCCAGAUCACACACACACUCCCAGCAGAGGCGCCAGCCCCAGUGGCUCCAGGCAGUAGCACUGAUGAAAAAUCUUGGGUUGGUUCUUGUUGAUUUCUCUUUUUUCCCCCCUAGAUUUCACAGCUUUGCCUCCAGACCAUCUGUAUUAGAGACAAAAUCUAACACUGAACUAAAAAUAAUGAUUCCAAACAUUUUAAUUGCACCUUUUGGUGACAAGGUUACUGGAACAGCACUUUACCAUAAAACCCUACAGCCCGAGUCUACAGCUCCCAGCACUUUCAUUUUUAGAAAAACAAUGGAAGAAGCCGGACAGCCCCAUAUCCCAGCCAUCAGGGCCCCUCAGGCUGACAUUUUGAAAGUGCUGGGUGGGGUUGGGGAAGGGCAGCCCAGGCAGCCAGCGGGGACAGCCUCAGUCCAGCUGGGGUGGCAGUGCCAGGCCAGACAGGCACAGGAAGAGCAGCCCAGCAAAAAGAGGCAGCCUCGCAGAGGCCAGGGCCUCCAUCCCCAAUGGCUGGAUCCUACUCCCAGACAGGCAGGAAGAAUCCAGGUCAAUUUUCCUUUCCGAGGGGCAGUCAGCAGAGGGAGGGGCGGACCGGCUGCAGCUGUGGCCUGCGGACGGAGGCCAUCCAGGAAAAUGGGAAGCAAGGCGGCCAAACCGGCCAUUUGGAAGUCUGCACACGAGAUGCAAAAAAAUUGUUUAACUUAAUUAUACUUUUUUCUCUCUAAACUAGAUCAUAUAUAGACACAGACCAAAACAAAUAAUAAUCUGGGGUAUAAUUCUUUUUUCAAAAAAAUACAUGCAGCUAAAUUUUAAAAACCAAUACAAUAUUUUGGCUCUUAGCAAUUUCAAAAAGCUUUCUUUGAGCUACAGAUGCUUCUAGCUGGAUGUCUGUGUGGCCAAGUUGCCCAUCACAAAUGGGUUGAACAUC